GGGGAAUAUUGGACAAUGGGCGAAAGCCUGAUCCAGCCAUGCCGCGUGUGUGAAGAAGGUCUUCGGAUUGUAAAGCACUUUAAGUUGGGAGGAAGGGUUGUAGAUUAAUACUCUGCAAUUUUGACGUUACCGACAGAAUAAGCACCGGCUAACUCUGUGCCAGCAGCCGCGGUAAUACAGAGGGUGCAAGCGUUAAUCGGAAUUACUGGGCGUAAAGCGCGCGUAGGUGGUUUGUUAAGUUGGAUGUGAAAUCCCCGGGCUCAACCUGGGAACUGCAUUCAAAACUGACUGACUAGAGUAUGGUAGAGGGUGGUGGAAUUUCCUGUGUAGCGGUGAAAUGCGUAGAUAUAGGAAGGAACACCAGUGGCGAAGGCGACCACCUGGACUAAUACUGACACUGAGGUGCGAAAGCGUGGGGAGCAAACA
rnacentral:rRNA from 1 species